AAAUCUCUCAUCAAAUUAAUUUUUGAUGGAUGUUGAGUGCUGCUAAUUAUUAGCUCACUUUAAAUAUAUAAGUCCUUUUCUUUAUGAUGGUUUGACUUGGUGUAAUAUUAUUUUUUAAAUUAUCAUCAAGGAAAGUAGUCAUGCUUGCCAACAAUAAAUGAAAAGUAACUCCUAAAGACUUCAUAAUUUAAUUAUGUUUUAUUUUUUAAG
rnacentral:misc_RNA from 1 species